GGCCGUUUGGUCUAGUGGUAUGAUUGUCCCUUAGGGUGGGACAGGUCCCGGGUUCGAUUCCCGGAACGGCCC
rnacentral:tRNA from 1 species